AUGAGCGGACGCUGCCUACUGGUGGCCGGGCGGGAUGUAACCGGCUGCUGAGCUGGCAGUUCUGUGUCGCUAGGCUUCUGCCCGGCCGCCGCCGCACAUAAGCCACGAGGAGGAGCUUUACGACUUCCCGGUCUUCGGCGCCGGGCGCAGCAAGGGCCAGACUCUGCGCUAGCAGGCGCUGCGCGCCAACCGGCCGGCACCUGUCGCAGAAGGUGCAACCGAUCGCACUGUCGCGCAGAAGCUCCUCAAUGGCCAGCGCCAGCUGCAGCCCCGGCCGCCCACUCGCCUCAUCUGAGCCUGGGUACGUGCGCUCCACAACGCCUCCCCCAGCCAGGGCCCGGGGAUCCCCGGGAGCGUCCCCGGCUACCUGGCGCCGCUCAUCCUGGGUAGGGUCGGCCCCCUGAGGCUGCCCGGCAUGAGGGAGUUGCACCCCUGAGCUUGACCUCUGACGGUCCUUUGUAAUAGCAUUAAGUCUUUGAAACUUGUAGCGGGGUAGAAGGGGCUAGGAAAUGAAGAAAACAUCUUUUUAAAAAUAUAAGCAGUCGGCUGGGCGAGGUGGCCCACACCUGUAAUCCCAGCACUUUGGGAGGUCGAGGCGGGUGGAUCACGAGGACAGGAGUUCAAGACCAGCCUGGCCAGCAUGGUUUCACUGAAACCCCGUCUCUACUAAAAACACAAAAAUUAGUCGGGCGUGGUGGCAGGUGCCUGUAAUCCCAGCUACUCGGGAGGCUGAGGCAGAGAAUUGUUUGAACCCGGGAUGCGGAGGUUGCAGUGAGCGGAGAUCGCGCCACUGCACUCCAGCCUGGGCAACAGACCAAGACUCCGUCUAAACAAACAAAUAUAUGUGUGUAUAUAUAUGCGAUCGAGCCCGGGAGGUUGAGAUUACAGUGAGCUGAGAUUAUAUAAGCGAUCGAGCACUGGAGGUUGAUGUUACAAUGCGCUGAGAUUGCGCCAUUGCACUCCAGCCUGUGUAACAGAGGGAGACUCUGUCUCUAAAAAAUUAUAUGCAAGUGAGAGCUUUUCUUCCAGCACUCAUGCUCAGACUGAAGAAAGUAAUUGGGCCAGGCCCGGUGGCUCACGCCUUUAAUCCCAGCAUUUUGGGAGGCGGAGGCGGAAGUGGGUGGAUCACUUGAGCUCAGGAAUUCCAGACUAGUUUGGGCAACAUGGUGGAACCCUUUCUCUACAAAAAUACAAAAAAUUAGCUGGACAUGGUGGCACGCGCUUGUAGUCUCCGCAACUUGCCGGGCUUAGGCGGGAGAAUCGCUCAGCUGCAGCCUCGACCUCCAGGGGCAAUCCAUUUCAGCCUCCCAAAGUGCUGAGAUUACAGGAAUGAGCCAUCGUGCCUGGCUUUACACUAUAUUUUAACACUUUUUUUGAAAAUGGAAACUUUUACAGGCAAUUCACUUCCUUCAAACUAAUGAUAAGGAAGUGAUGCUGUUCUGUUCUGUUUUGUUUUUUGUUUUUGUGGGUUUUUUUUCUUUUUUGAGAUGGGGUCUUGCCCAGGUUGGAGUGAGGUGGUGCAAACAAGGCUCACUGCAGCCUUGACCUUCGGGCUCAAGGAAUCCUUCCCCGUCAGCCUCCCCGGUAGCUAGGACUACAGGUGCAUGCUACCACGCUUGGCUAAUUCUUUUUUUGAAAUGGAGUCUCACUCUGUCUCCCAGGCUGGAGUGCAGUGGUGCAAUCUCGGCUCACUGCAGGCUGGUCUCAACCUCUGACUUCGGAUGGUCCACCCACUUCUGCAUCCCAAAGUGCUGGGAUUACAAGUGUGACCCACCGCGCCUGGCGAUUUUGCUCAUUUUAGAUACUAGAACUUUUUAAUUUAAAAUUUUUUUUUCCUGAGAUGGAGUCUUACUUUGUCUCCAGGCUGGAGUGUAGUCGCGUAAUCUCGGCUCACUGCAACCUCCACCUCCUGAGUUCAAGCGAUUCUCCUGCCUCAGCCUGCCAGAGUUGCUGGGACUACAGGUGUGCACCACCACACCCAGGAGUUCAAGGCUGCAGUGAGCCAUGAUCGUACCACUGCACUCCAGCCUGGGCAACACAGCGAGACCCUGACUCCACAAAUAAAUAAAUCAACGUCAUAUGAUCUGUACCAGGGUAUAGGCAGGUGCUAUGAUCCCCACUUUUCAUCCUCAACUCUAAGUUGAGUCAUACAUCAACCUCUAGUAAAAAGUGGCAUGCUCUCAGUCAAAGGGGUAAGCCCAAACCACGUGGAGAGAAUCUUAUCUCUUUUGAGAGCUAAUAUAAAAAGAAUUCCUCCUAGGCAUAAAAAUAUUAUGACACCAGUUACUUAGGCUAAACAUGCCUAUUAUGCUAAGUGAGUUAUUAACAAUAAAUACUUUAACUCUGUGCCAUGUUAAUUAUCAUAAUCUGAUUUAUAAUUUGUUUUAACCUUAGGUUAUAUAUACCUUGAAGCCAUUUAUAUUUUGGUAUACUUGUAAUAAUUACUAUACACUGGACUAUGUAUAUUGGACUAAACACGGAGAGUCAAAAAAGAGUAUGUGGUCAGAGUAGAAAUCAUGCCCUAGCUUCCUUCGUGUCUACCUCCUACCUUGAGUAGAAGUGGUAGAAAAAGUAAUUACCUAAGAUUUUUUGGAUUCUGGUUUGUGGAGAAGCACCCUUAUAUUUAGGCUGAUGGGCGGCAAAAUUAGAAAGUAUUUUUUGUGAUUUAGAAUUUUAUACAGAGAUGUUCAUUGUGAUUAAUUAUUCUUUGUAUUAGCAGAUUUUUGCUUUUUAUAGCUGCAUGAUUUCUUGUUUAUUAUUCAUUCAUUAUUGUCUAUUAAUAAAGAAAAACUUUAUUUCACUGAAGCAGUGAUAUAUAAUCCAACUUGGAUUUUUAAAUAAUGACUGACUUUUUUUCUUUGGGAAUACAUUACUGUUAAAAAUGUAAUUAUUAGAUACAUUACUUUUAAUGAAUAUAAGUGGUAUAAUUAGAAGGCUGAAAAGAAUCCUUGGAAACGUGAGUUUAAUUUGAUAGCUAAGAAACUGAGGACAAGAUACUUAUUCUUUGUAGCAUAUUUUCUAAUGUCAUUUCAUUGUCUCACCAAGAAAUACUUGCAUAAAGCAAGUUCAAUUACAGUAUCUGUUGAAUAUUUAAGGUUGAGUAAAGUGGGUGAGUUUAACAGAUAUUUUCCCUUAUUUCUUUUAGGCAAAUCUGGAUUGGGAAAGUUGACAUUAAUCAACUCAUUAUUCCUCACAGAUUUGUAUUCUCCAGAGUAUCCAGGUCCUUCUCAGAGAAUUAAAAAGCCUGUACAGGUCUAGAUAUUGGUAUUUUUAAUUGAUGAUAAGCUGGAAUAAUAUUAAUACACACAAAGCACGUGUUGUAACUUUCAUUAUGCUUCCUUAGAGGUAAGAUGCAAAUUUGCCCUUAGCCAGUGUAAGAUGGUAAAUAUGACUUCAUAAAAUCAAAAAAACAGAAGAAGUACAGUUAAUCGAAAGAUUAUCUUGACUAGAACUUUCCAAAUUUGUCCUAAGGAUUCUCCUAGAGAUGACACUGUGACAUAGUAACCAAUUCCCCUGGAGUUGUGCUAUGUAGUAUGAUAGUCAUUUGCCACAUGUUUAAAUCAAUUAAAAUUAAUUAAAUUAAAAUGCAAUUUCUCAUUUGCUCCAGAUACAUUUCAAGUGCUCAACAGCCACAUGUGGCAAGUGGCUGCCAUUUUGUGCAGCACAUAUAUGAAGAUUUUCAUCAUUGUAGAAAAUUGCAUUGGACAGUGUAGAGAAAACAUGAUUCAUAGAAAAACUAUUGUUAUUUAAAUACAGUGUUCUAUAUUAGUCAGUGGGAUAAUACCAUAUCAUAGUUGAAUGGCAAUAGCAAUUCUGUAAGACUCCCAAGCUAUAUGUGAUCUAAUUUACUGCUUCUCAGUCUUUGCUAUGCAUUCCAAUCCUGGGUAUCCUGUUAAAUUUAUUUCUUCUAGUAGUUCUGAGAUGGGCUGCCUUUCUACAUUUCUAACAAGAUCCCAGGUGAUGCUGAUGCUGCUGGAUGGUAGAUCACACUUUAUAAAGCAAGGGGCUAGACUCUAGAUAUGCACUUUUUAUUAAAUAGUACAGCAGCCUGUAGCCACAUGUGGCUAUUAAUCUUUGAAAUGUGGGUAGUCUGAAUUGUGAUGUUCUGCAAACAUAAAAUAUGCCACAGAUUUCUAAGACUGAGCAUGGAAAAGAAAAUCUCCAUAAUUUUUUAUAUUGAUUGUAUACUGCAGUGAUAAUAUUUUGGAUGUAUCAGGUUAAAUAAAAUUGACUGAUUUCACCUUUUUCCUAUUUUAAAAGUGGCUACUAAGAAAAUUUUAAAUUACUUACAUGACCGACAUGGUAUUUUUAUUUGGCAGCGCUGCUCUAAGCUGUUGAUGAAAAAUAUUGUUGGUGAGCUCUGCUUAGGUAAUAUAUAGGACAUGAGCAGAGAGGAGGCACGUGAACAGUUCUGGCCUGGAGUAGGCUUCAUUGAGGCUGUGAUGCUUUUAGCUGGAUUUGAAGAAGUGGUAGUGAUCAUCCCAGUGCACAGGAUAGGUGGACAGUCUAUGUAUUCUGAGCAGUAACUCAUAUAUCUCAUACUGCAAGACCCCAAAGGAGUAAUUUUGUGAAGUAAAUAUCUUAUUUCUCCUUUUUAAUGUUUCUAUUUUAGGAAUUUUUUUUUUUUUUAGUAACCUUCAUAGGGCUUGAGAUUUAAAAUUACCUGCAAAAUUCUACUCUAAAAACUUGAUCCUACAUGCUUAUUUUGUGAUAAAUAUUGGAAAUUUUAAACCUAAGCAAGAAAAUGAACUUUGAACUUUCUUAAUUUGGGUAUCUAUUAUGAAUACCUUCACUUAAGUAUUUAUGAAUUUAGAUAUGAAAGGUAAAACUAACCACUAUCCAAAUUAAUAUACAGUUCAUUUCCAGAACCCUAGUUUCUUCCAUGUGCUCACUUGCAUUCAGUAUUACAACCCCCAAAGAUAAACACCUUACUGACUGCCUUCUCCAUAAAUUUGCCUGUUCUUGAAUGUUAUAUACGUAUACUUUUUUGUAUCUGUUUUCUUUCAGUGAAGAUUAUGUCUGUAUUAUUUACUCAUGUUGGGUGUAGUUGUUUUUUUCAUCGUCGUAUAAUACUCCAUUGUGUGAAUGUAUCAGUAUAUCCUUUAUUAUUUAUUUAAACUGACUUAAAUGUUUUUUGACACUUUGGUUAUAUUUAAGAAGUUGACUUCUCUAAUUUCCUUGUCAUGUUUAUUUUUAAAUAUCUUUCUCUUUAAAAGUUGGGAUACUAUAAUAAAUAUUCAGCAAGUAUUUUGUGUUUAAAUAUAAAAUCUUGUUAUUUGGAUUUUAAUACUUUAUAUAUAGUAUUUAUAUAUAUAAACAUAAACAAAACUAAAGACUCUAUGAAAGAAUCAAAUGGAUUUUCUAUAACUGAAAAUUUCAAUGACUAAAAUUAAGAUAUUACCAGAUAGGUUUAACAGCAAAUUCCAUAAAGUUGGUAAGAAAACAAGAAUACUCAAAAAAUGGAAAGAAGUAGAAAAUAAAAACACUGAGAAGCAUAGAAUGCAAAUUUAGAAAAGAGCUUAAGAGACAUAUCAGACAUGGUAAAAGGUUUAACACACAUAUAAUCAAACUUUCCUAGCUCUGUUCACGGAAAGGGCCUGGGAGCUGCAACACCUCAACAGCAACAAGCACACCUGCUACCUAGAACUUGGUUUCUAAAAACCAUCCUCCUCUAAAAGGAAACAGAGCUCUUUGAAGAAACGGUAAUUUCAAAGCUAGAGCACAGAAAGUAUAAGAUGAGCCCAGAAUAUCUUUUUGUACAAGAAAGUAAGGCAAUGCUCAAAGAAUGAUGGAGACAUGCCCAAAAAAAGCAGAGAAGCCAACUUGAAAAGAUUCCAACAGGCCAAAUAUGGGGCGAUUUGAACAUCAGAAUAAAAUGGUGACAGUCACAGAAUUAUAACCCAGUGAAGAAAGGAAUUCAUGACAUCAUAUUAAUAUAAAUAAUAAUUGAAUAUUGAAAUUCGUUAAAGGAAAUGAGAUAUUUAUGUAGUCUUAAGGUAUCUUCUCACAAAUUAUGUAUUACUUACAAAGGGGAAAAGUGCACCUUGACGUGAGAAUCUUGGCAGAACUACUUUAAUCAAGAGGUUUAGUUGAGCAUUAUCAGUAACAGAGUAAAUCAAAAUCAUAAGCCACUUGAUAGAUACAAUGAGAAAAUAAAGCAUCACUUCUGUGACACCCUAUAAAAAAUGAAUCUAAUAAUGAGGAAACAUGAGAAAAAACCAAACUGAGGGAUAUUCUACAAAUAAAUUGUCCUGUAAUCUUCAAAAAUUUCAAGGUUAUAAAAGUCAAGAAAAACAGACAAUCUUUUCCAAACUCAAGGGAACUAAAGAGGCAUGAAAUCUAAAUGCUUAAUUCUGGAUUUCAUCUUUUUGAUAUAAAGAACAGUAUUGAGACUAUUGAUAAAAUUUGAGUGGGGUCUGAAGAUUCAUUGGUAGUAGUAAGCUCAAUUUAAUUUCCUCACUUUGAUCAUUGUACUCUGGUUUUUAGAAUGUUCUAGUCAACAGGUAAUAUGAAUUAAACUAAUCGAGGGUGACAGGGCAUUAUAUCAGCCACUUAUCAACAAACAUUUCAGAGAAAAAUAGUUCCUUGUAUUGUUAUUGCAAUUUUCUUUGAGAUUGCCCCCUCCGAAACAGUAAGAACUUUCAAAAACAAACAAAGAUAUCAAGCCACAGAUUCAAAGUGCUAUAAACUCCACGCAUGAUUAGUUCUCACUCAUAGGUGGGAAUUGAACAAUGAGAACACAUGGACACAGGAAGGGGAACAUCACACACCAGGGCCUGUUGUGGGGUAGGGGGAGGGGGGAGGGAUAACAUUAGGAGAUAUACCUAAUGUUAAAUAACGAGUUAAUGGGUGCAGCACACCAACAUGGCACAUGUAUACAUAUGUAACUAAACUGCACAUUGUGCACAUGUACCCUAAAACUUAAAGUAUAAUAAAAAAAAAUCAUACCUAGAUAUAUCACAAUAAAACUUGACCUCAGAGUUUCUAGCUCUCAAGACCAAUUCCUCCCAUCCUGCCACUAACAGAUUUCUCCAAACAUCUCUGCACCUCAGAGUGCAAAUACAAUCAAACAUUUCACUCCAUUGAUAGGAAGCAUCCUUCACUAUCUUCUACCAAGGGCUUCCUCCUUUGGUGCUUCAAAAUUUUUUAUGAAAGGAACAUCCAUUUUAUUCAAAGCACCUCCAAACCUGCAAUCCUAAGUUCCAGGCAACUCAAUCCCAAAAAUCCACUGUAGAUGCCCAAAGGCUGGGGUGUUCGGUCUUCAACAUUUUUGCCUUUGUGGCUCCCAGUCAAGAUAGAGCUGCACCAAGUCCAAUUCCAUUCCUCAUCACAGAUGAUUUUUUCUACUUUAAGAUCAGAACUAUACAAGCUUCUUGCUUUGUGUCAGCAUGCUGUUGUACCCAUGGGCAAAUUCUUAGGUAAGACAAAAACACAGUCCCAAGGGCAGGUAGUAAUUUUUUCAGAAAAAGGUAAGGCAAUCAUUUAUCUCAGUCUGCCCAGGACAGUCCCAAUUUACACAUGUAUAUUCUCCCAAUCUGUAGGCUGUCUUUUCAUUUUGUUGAUUAUUUCACUUAAUUUUUUAUUAUUUAUUUAUUUUAUAGAGACAGAUCUCAUUAUGUUGCCCAGGGUGAUCCUUGAUCUCCUGGCCUCAAGUGAUCCUCCAACCUUGGUCUCCCAAAGUGCUGGGAUUACAGAUGUGAACUACCACACCCAGUCAACGUGCAGAAGGUUUUCAGUUUGAUGUAGUCUGAUGUAGUCUCAUGUAUUUAUCCUUCUUGUUGUUGCCUGAGCUUUUGGUGUGAUAUCCAAAAAUAUCAUUGCCAAGAUCAAUAUCAAGAAACUUUCCCCCUAUGUUUCUUACAGAAAUUUUAUGGUUUCAGAUUUUUCAUCCAUUUUGAGUAUAUUUGUGUGUAUGAUGUAAGAUAAGGGUCCAGUCUCCCCAGUGUUGGAUAUCCAAUUUUCAUAACACCAUUUAUUGAAGAGAUUAUUCUUUCUCCACUGUGUUUUCUUGAUGUCCUUGUCAAAAAUUAGUUGACUUUUAUAUGCUUGGGUUUAUUUCUGGGCUCUAUUCUGUUUCAUUGCUUUACAUCUCUGUUUUCAUGCCAGUGCCACAGUGUUUUGAUUACUAUAGCUUUGUAAUAUAAUUUGAAAUCAGAAUGUGUAAUACCUAUAACUUUGUUUUUUGCUCUAAAGAUUUAUUUAUUUAUUUAUUUUUGCCAUUUCAGGUCUUUUGUGGUUUCAUAUGAAUUUCAGAAUUGUUUUUCCUAUUUCUGUGAAAAAUGCCAUUGACAUUUUGAUAGGGAUUGUGUUGAAUCUAUAUAUUGCUUUGGAUAGUAUGGAUGUUUUAACACUAUUAAUUGUCCCAAUCCAUGAACAUGAAAUAUCUUUCCAUUCACUUGUGUCUUCUUCAAUUUCUUUCAUCAAUGUUUUAUAGUUUUCAUUGUGCAGAUCUUUCACUUACCUGGUUAAAUUUAUUCCUACAAUUUCAUUCUUUUUGAUACUAGGGUAAAUUGAAUUAUUUUCUUGAUUUCUAUAAAUUAUUUCUUAUAAUACUCAUACUUGUCAGGCCUCUGGGCCCAAGCCUGCAUGUAUACAUCCAGAUGGCCUGAAAUAACUGAAGAAUCACAAAAGAAGUGAAAAUGGCCAGUUCCUGCCUUAACUGGUGACAUUACCUUGUGAAAUUCCUUCUCCUGGCUCAGAAGCUCCCCCGCUGAGCACCUUGUGACCCCCGUCCCUGCCCACCAGAGAACAACCCCCUUUGACUGUAAUUGUCCACUACCCACCCAAAUCCUAUAAAACAGCCCCACCCGUCUCCCUUCACUGACUCCUUUUUCAGACUCAGCCUGCCUGCACCCAGGUGAAAUAAACAGCCUUGUUGCUCACACAAAGCCUGUUGGUGGACUCUCUUCACACAGAUGCGCGAGACAAUACUAACACUAAUAUUAUUUUGAUUCGUCAGAUGGAAAAGUAAGGCUUGAAGAGGUUAGAAAUAACUUUUCCAAGGUCACAGAGCUAAUUGCCACAACUAUAACUCAGCUCUAGUAUGUGAACAAAGAUUUUUUUAUACCAAACCAAAAUUAUUUAUUUCUACUCCACUAUUCUAUCAUGGUGCAUUUUAGGUGCUAAUGGGAAAAUCUGCUCUAUGAUGGUGUCCAAUAGACAAUUAAAAUUCAAAUCUGGAAAUGAGAUCUGGACUGAAGAUUUUUUUAAAAAUUAGCCCUCAUCACAUGUAGUCAGCUGUAGAAAUCCUUAGCAUGGCUGAAAUUUUUCAUAUUAAGACAAGACUAGAACUUGGCCAGGUGUGGUGGCUCACACCUGUAAUCCCAGCACUUUGGGAGGCUGAGGUGGGUGAAUCACCUGAGGUCUGGAGUUUGAGACCAGCUGACCAACAUGGUGAAACACCAUCUCUACUAAAAAUACAAAAAAUUAGCCAGGCGUGGUUGCACAUGCCUGUAAUCCUAGCUACUUGGGAAGCUGAGGUAGGAGAAUUGCUUGAACCCAGGAGGUGGAGGUUGCAGCAAGCUGAGAUCGUGCCAUUGCACUGCAGUCUGGGCAAAAAAAGCAAAACUCUGAAGAAAGAGAGAGAGAGGGAGAGAGGGAGAGAGAAAGGAAGAGACGAUGAGAGACAGAGAGAAGGAGAGAGAAAGUACAAAAGAACGAAUGAACGAACAAACUAGAAAUCGAGCAGGAACCUUGGAGGACCUAUUGCUUAAGGUGUGGGCCAAAGAAAGUAAGUUAGGGCAAGAGACUAAGGUAUGCCAGAGACCCAGGACAAAACACAGUGCAGAGUGAUGUCACAGAGCCAAAUGGGAGUGCAAGCUAUGGCAAGCCCUCCCAAGUAUGUGUGGGUUAAAUGUAAUUAAAUUCAAAAUCUCUCAACCCAAAAAUUUUCUCCACAAAGGAAGUAGAGAAACAAAACAGUUCAUUAUUGAAUAAGCAUUAAACCAGAAUGUGAUGUGUGAAUAUAAUGGAAUGGAAUGGAAUGGAAUGGAAUGGAAUGGAAUGGAAUGGAAUGGAGUGGAGUGGAAUGGACCCGAAUGGAAUGGAACGGAACGGAAUGGAAUGGAACGCACUCGAAUGGAAUGGAACGGACAUGAAUGGAAUGGAAUGGAACGGACACGAAUGGAACGGAACGGAACGGAAUGGACUUGAGUGGGAUGGAAUGGAAUUGAAUGGACUCUAAUGGAAUGGACAUGAAUGGAAUGGAAUGGACUCAAUUGGAAUGCAGUUGAAUUGAAAGGAUCCAAAAGGAAUGCAAUGGAAUGCAUUGGAAUGGAAUGCAAUGGACUUGAAUGGGAUGGAAUGGAAUGGAAUGGACUCUAAUGGAACGGAAUGGAAUGGAACCGAAUGGAAUGGAAUGGACUUGAAUGGAAUAGAAUGGAAUGGAAUGGACUCGAAAGAAAUGAAAUGGAAUGGAUUCAAAUGGAAUGGAAUGGACACAAAUGGAACCAAAUGGAAUGGAAUGGACUCGAAUGGAAUACAAUGGAAUUUAAUGGAAUGGACUCUAAUGGAAUGGAAUGGACUAGAAUGGAAUAGAACGGAAUAGGCUCGAAUGGUAUGGAAUGCAAUGGAAUGGACUCGAAUGGAAUAGAACAGAAUAGACUAGAAUGGUAUGGAAUGCAAUGUAAUGGACUCGAAUGGAACGGAAUGGAAUGGACAAGAAUUGAAUUGAAUGGACUGGAAUGGAAUGGAAUGGACUCCAAUGGAAUG
rnacentral:lncRNA from 1 species